UGGCUGUGCCUUGGUUUCGGACUUCUAGCCCUUGGAACUACUGUUUGACCUCUGGUAACUAAAACUGCAGAAGGCAAAACUGGAUAAGGAGACUACCGUAAUGAUUAUGCUAUUGUAAGACACUCUAUUGCUAACAUGAGACAUUUUUAUAAUAGACCAGAAUCCUGCUAGGACAUCUCUGCCUGUGGAAGGAGGGCUGGAUGGCACACUGGGAAUGGCUUUCUAGGAUGACUUCCUGUUGCUACAGACUACAGGCAGCACUUCUGGCCUUGACGUUGUCUGAAUAAAGAAGGCAUAGGAGUUUCA